GGAAGAAGAGCAGGGGAGGGAAGCAUUACUAAUUCUGGGGUUAUUUUCUAUUGUUCCAGGAAAGAACAGGCUACGGGGAAGGAGAGAAA